UGGGGAAUAUUGCACAAUGGGCGCAAGCCUGAUGCAGCCAUGCCGCGUGUAUGAAGAAGGCCUUCGGGUUGUAAAGUACUUUCAGCGGGGAGGAAGGGAGUAAAGUUAAUACCUUUGCUCAUUGACGUUACCCGCAGAAGAAGCACCGGCUAACUCCGUGCCAGCAGCCGCGGUAAUACGGAGGGUGCAAGCGUUAAUCGGAAUUACUGGGCGUAAAGCGCACGCAGGCGGUUUGUUAAGUCAGAUGUGAAAUCCCCGGGCUCAACCUGGGAACUGCAUCUGAAACUGGCAAGCUUGAGUCUCGGAGAGGGGGGUAGAAUUCCAGGUGUAGCGGUGAAAUGCGUAGAGAUCUGGAGGAAUACCGGUGGCGAAGGCGGCCCCCUGGACGAAGACUGACGCUCAGGUGCGAAAGAGUGGGGAGCAAACAGG
rnacentral:rRNA from 1 species